UACAGAGGAUGCAAGCGUUAUCCGGAAUGAUUGGGAGUAAAGCGUCUGUAGGUGGCUUUUCAAGUCCGCCAUCAAAUCCCAGGGCUCAACCCUGGACAGGCGGUGGAAACUACCAAGUUGGAGUACGGUAGGGGCAGAGGGAAUUUUCGGUGGAGUGGUGAAAUGCAUUGAGAUCGGAAAGAACACCAGCGGCGAAAGCACUCUGCUGGGCCGACACUGACACUGAGAGACGAAAGCUAGGGGAGCAAAUGGG
rnacentral:rRNA from 1 species